CCUCGAUCUCCUUGCGGUAGAAGUCCUCGAUGGUGGGGUCGUACUUCUCGAUGAACGUGCCGGUCACGAACUGCACCGUGAGCGCCGACUUCCCCACCCCGCCCGAGCCCAGCACCACCACCUUGUACUCGCGCAUCCUCCCGGCGAGGCGCGGACCGCCCGCCGCCGCCCGACCCGCACCUGCCGCCGGCCCCUCCUCACCCCCCCGCCAUCGGCCGCCCCCGCCCGCUCCGCGCCGCUCCCGCCGGGUGCUGCCGGCCGCGGGGCCGCGCUCCCGGGCUGCGGCGCGGGUGAGGUGGGGCGCCCGCCCCGCCCCCUCCUUCCCCGGUCGCCACGGCAACAGCCAACCGGGCGGCGCGCGCCGCCGCGCGCGGAGGGGCGGGGCGGGGUGGAAGAAAGAGCGGGGAGGAGGGCGUCACGUGGCGCGCCCCGCCGCCUCCCCCGCCCGGCGGCGCCGGCCAACGGGCGAGCGGGGCGGCGGCACGUGACGCCGAGGAGCGGCGGCGACUCGGCGGGCGACGGUUUCCUCCCGGCCCCUCGCCCUGCGCUGUCGCCUUGGAGACAGCGGCCCCGCCCGCGCCCCCCGAGCCGCUCCGCGGGCCGGCUCCGCGACACGCUCUUCCCGCGGGGCCAAUCGGCGGCCGCGCCGCCGUCACGCGGCGGGCGGCGUGAGCCAAUGGCAGCGCGGGAUGGGGGCGAGCGGGGCGGGGUCGGCGCUGGGCGGGGGCGCGGCCGGAAGUGCUGCUCGGGGGCGCGUGGCGGUGGGGCCGGGGUCGGUUCCUCUCUCGCCUCUCCUCUGUGAGGCUCCAGUACCGUGCGGCUCUUGGAGCUUUUAUUUUUGUUUUCUUAACCAUCUCUGGUUGCGAUCGGGUAUAGAGAGGAGGGACUUUGUUCCCGUUAGGGGCUUGUGGCUCAGCCAGUCUCUGAACCCUGUCAGAAAAGGGCUGUCGUGGGGCUGCGCUUCUCAUCGAGCUCCUCUGCUUUCGCCUUGUCGCCUUUGUGCCUAUUCCCCCCUGCUUUUCUUUUGGAUCUGCGGAGCUUCCAAACGAACUUACCUCAGUAGGGUGCCCACGGAUUUGGUCUGCCCGGAAGAGAGAAGUGCCCAUAGAACCAUAGGAUGGCCUGGGUUGAAAAGGACCACGAUGAUCAUCGAGUUUCAACCCCCCUGCUGUGUGCAGGGUCGCCGACCACCAGACCCUGUGCCCGUGUAUUACACUGCCAAAGCAAAACCACAACGGCACGCAUCCGUGUGAUGUAAAUACAUGCAAUAACGCAGGCAUGAAGAGUUCCUACAGUGCUCUCGGGAUCCAUUUGGAAAUGGCACUGAACCUGGCCAGGAGUUAGUAAUAUUUUCAGUGAAUAAUCUCGUUUCUGUUAGCGACCUGAGAGCUUCGGGUGAUAAAACAGCCCACACAAGAACAUGCAGAAGCAGAAAAUGCAAGAUAAUGCGUGUGUGGGGUAAUGAGUACUUGCACCAUAAAUCAAGGAGCUCUCUGGCAGAGGACUGCGAAAAUACCCAGGCUUGUUAGUCAAUGGGGAAAGGAAGCUAACAGUUUAAAAUGCAGUUGCGAAGAGAGCCCCGCAAAUGUGACUGAUGUGUGUGAGGUCAAACCUCUGAGUUGCCUGUGAGACAUUACUGUGUCCUGGACUGACGAACCGUGUCCAGGAAAAGGAACCUGUACAGAAAUACACCCAGGAGGGUUACUGGAGCAGAGCAAAGCUUAUCUACAAGAAUACACUUGGAAUAUUUGUCUGGCUAAUGCGGCAAAAGCAAACGUGGAGGAGGGGGUAUGGCUGCUGGUAACAAAAAAGCAAGGGCAGAAUCAAGGAGUGGCCAUUCAAGCUAAUAAACAAGGUUGAUAGAACAGCGUAGAUCUAAAUUAGAGAAGCUGCUGACGGCUGGUUUCUGGUGAGGAGGGUGAUCGGAAUGAAGAUGCAACAGGAGUGCUCACACAGAACAGAUUCACGCCAGCUGGUCAGUGUGGAGAUGGUCAAGUUUCAUAGGCAGUGAAGCCUUUUGUCACUUAAUGAUAGUGGGAUGAUGCGUGCAGGGACAAAGGGAACAGAAAAAUGGGAUGCACGGGGACAGCUUUUAUGGCUUGGAAGAUGGUAAAGGAAGGGCAGAAUGGGCAGUGGCUGGAGGUGCUGGAUGCCCAGAAUGGGUGACUAUUCCCGAGGAUCUGUCACUUCACUGAUGAGGCUAAAAGCCUUACCAUUGCCCUACUUUUCUAGCCUUCUCCCUUAGCUGAUUCUAAUUCACCUGGGGAAGGUGACAACGUGGAAAAUUCAGCUGGUAAGUGCUGGAAUUUCUGUGCUAAAAACAAAUGCAGGAAUUAGUUAUGUGUAGUUAUUUUUAGUGAGCUUGAGAACGUGGGGCUGCUUCGGUACUGCCAGUUCUUUCUUUUAUGCACACUGCUUAUACUUGCACUAUUCUCUACCAAGCAGUUGGGAGGAGAAAGAAAAAAACUACAUUUCAAGGAAAGAGAAACUUCCUGCCACCAAAGAUUGAGCUAGACAAGGCUUGUCCAGGCAGAUAUCUCCAUCCACAUCUGAUGAGCAGACAGGCCGUCUCCUUUCCCAACACGACCUCCUUUGCAUCUUCUCAGGGCACUCUCAGGAGUUAUCCAUUCCCUCUGUGCCGUGCAGCUGGAAUUUUGCUGCCUUCACAGAGUUUAGAAACUUUAGGCUUCAGACAGUCUUAUUGCUCACUUCUCAAGUCUUCUAUAUCGAGCUAUCAUAUUUCAGGCUUCAGCAGCCUGUGGCUAACCACACCGUCUUAUGAUAGGAUGGAGUUUCUCUAUAAAUAUUUUCUAUUUUUAUGCAGGAAACAACAUACAGUAGCAUAAGUUUUGUGCUAGCUGCUGUGGCCUCUGAGUGCAUGUUAGUGUACAAGAGAUGGACAGGGCCUUUAGAUCUAUUUUUGUUCAUUGCAGGGUAGUAGAACAACGAUGACUUCCUGUUCUUGAUUACAGCCAUAUUUUUGCACUUGAGCUGGCAGUGCUGUCUCCACAUGGAUUGCAUCUAGCCAUGCAUAAUUUCAGUAUUUUAGGAAGUGUAGUCAGCAUUAACUGUUAAGGAUUGAGAUCAUAUUUCGUUUUCCAUCUAAUACUUCUUGAGCUGUCCAUUCAGCUGUUACCAAACUCACGAUACAACUAUCUGAAGUGAAAGGUGGCUCACUUUUCUUAUCUCUAGCACUUCUAGGUGAUCACACUGUUAAUUUCCCUUUCUUCCCCGUGGUGACGUUAUCCCUUUUUUUACCAACUACAAAAUCGUAAGUGUUUGUCGUCUUCAUGAGAACAGCAACUUUCCAGAUGAGAGCAGGAACCACAUCAGGGCACUCGUGAAGGGACGGAACACUGGACCUGAGCUUGGCUGAGGUCAUUGGCAGCGCUGGAUGCACAGGAGCUAGGCUAGUAGGGAGCCAGGAGGGCACAGGGUAAGAUUUGAUGUACUGCUGGAAGACUGUGUGAUAGAGCUAUGCUGCUUGUUUGUUUGUUUGUUCUUAAGGAAAUCAAAGCAUUUAAGUUUUAAGGUUGUAGUGCUUAUGUUUUGCAGUAGUAGAGCCUAAGUCUUAUGAGGAGUGGCUGAGGGAACUGAGAUUGUUUAGUCUGGAGAAGAAGAGGCUCAGGGAAGACCUUACCACUCUCCAACUACCUGAAAGAGAGUUGUGGUGAGGGGUUGGUCUCUUCCUCCAUGUAACUAAUGAUAGGACUAGAGGGAAUGGCAGGCAAGCACACUGUAAAGGGAGAUCAUAAACCACCAGAUAAAAUGUGCUGGCAGUUCUUUUUCCCUCAUGUUAAACUGUGUAUAGUCUUCAUUUAAGUAUCUUUGCAAUCAGGGAGACAAAAUUUGAACAGGUGCCUGGUGUAUGAUGCAGAUCCAUGGGGUGUACACAGACCCAGCCUACUUGCUUAGUCUCCCCACUCCUCCCAAAUCCACACUGCCUCUCUGCUACACCACUGUUGUAGUCUGCGUGGCCCCGUGCUGAGCCACUGCGGCCCCGUGAAUCUGUAGAAAGCUAACCCAGCCUAGAAAAGCAAAUUGUGAAAUAGUUGCUAGCGGUCAGGGAUUCAGACAGGACAGAGGAACAGAGUUAACUCCAUCCACAGCUCAAAAUGGUUUCAACUCACACCUGUUGCUUCUCACGAGGUGGUUUUAGUUUUGAGAAGUAAAGCAAACUAGAUUACAUUCUGGCAGAACUAGAUUGAAUUAAUGAGUUUUACCGUGCAAGUAGAGGGGACAACAAGCGUGAACGCAAUUAACUGUGGCUCUGCCAGCAGAUACUCAUUAAGUUGCUGUAGCUGUCACUUCCAAUUGUGUGCUCCCGUCCCCAGGGAUUGUACUUUAUUUUUUUAAACAAUUUGAAAGACAUGGAGACAAUAGAAGUAGGAAUACCAAAGUCUCCUCUCGGCCAUAAUUUAAUUUUCUAAUCAGAAAGGAGCAUUCAGGCUUCAGUCCCGUGGGCUUGUUUCAGAGGAUGACCACUUUGGUAGCUCUGCACAUGGGGACAGCUUUCUCUUGUUACCUUCUCAUUAAUGCUCUUUCCUGACACCACAAAUUAACUGUUUGGAGGAAGGGGGAUCACUCACCAAGGGGUGGGGCUGAUGAUUUUUAACUACUUUGUGAAGCCCUGUAUCCAUCCCUGUCACGUAAUAAGGUCGUCGUGUUUAAUUGAAGAUGGUGGUUAAAUGUAAAAAGAAUAAUUGCUCCUGGCCUGUUUUUAUUAGGAGUGAAAAUUUGAUCGACCAUUCCCAGAGCACUGAGAAAUCUAAAUGGAAAUAUUCUGGCUUGGCUUGUGACCUCAUUUUUCUUGUUCUUAGUGGAGUUUCGGUGGACUUCUGCUGAUGCGUUACGCGUCUUACAGCAAAGAGUUCUUUUACUUACCACAAAAGCAAACAGGAAACCUCGGUGAUAUUAUUAAUGUUAAUGAAAAGCUUCCACUAUGUGCCUUAAGUUUUGUAAGAAAUACUCAUCUGCCAAUGAAGUUAAGUUAAAUGGCUGUCAUCCAUACGUAGAUUCAAAACAGGGGAGUCAGCUUCAGGAUAUAAAAAACCCCCUUGAAAUAAAUUAACAACAGCUAAUUUAUUAUUCCAUUUGACUCUCUCUUUCUCCUUAUGAUGUUUAAAAAUAAUUCAAUCACAAGAUUUAAGAGGAAGUGGAAAUAAUGAUGAUCUGUUUUUAUUAAGGUACAAAACUCUUGGAGUAUCUAUGGCAAACAGAGUAGACAUUGCUGUCUGAGUCAGACUUGAAAGGAAAUGUUUAAUCCCCCAUUUUAAUAACCAGCAUAUGAGCAACAGGACCUUGUAUUUCACAAGCAUUAGAUUUUUGUAUGUGUCAAUAAAAAAAUCAGUACUACAGUUACAGUAGUAUUUUAUUUUUAUAUGGUUACUUUGAGCGAAACAUUCAAUCUUUAAGAUGCCUUAAUUGCUGCGAGUUACACUGGAAAUUAAAAUAAGCUUUCCAAUCUACUCUUCCUGUAUUUAUUUCUUAAAUGCGCAUUUUCUUAAAUGGGGCAGUACUUAAUCACCUCAGAUGUGAUCAAAUCGUAGCUGAGAUAAUUUUGUACAUGUGCUGAAACUGGUUUAGUACUAUGGGUGCAUGUCAGAGUAGAGGCGUUUGUUCUGGAUGUUUGGAUCUGUGUUGCCUGUUCUAGGCAGGGAAGAGCAAAUGGCAUGCGACCCCUGCCCCGGGUCCCUGAAUAGGGGCAGUUUUAAGGGCACACCAGGUCCAGCUCCUGGCUCCACACAGGACCACCCAAAAUCAAACCCUAUGUCUGAGAGCAGUGUCCAAACGCUCCGUGAACCCUGACACUCGGGGCCAUGCCCACAGCCCUGGGCAGCCCGUUCCAUGCCCACCACCCUCUGGUGCAGCCCCUUUCCCUAACUCCCAGCUGCCCCUCCCCUGACAACUCCAUGCCGUUCCCUCAGGCCCUGUCGCUGUCAGAGAGCAGAGCUCAGUCUCUCAGAUCUGCCUCUCCACUCCUCUCAAGUGGAUAGGAAGUAGUUUGGGAUGUGAUAUGAGGAGGUAGUUGUCAUCUGUAAAGCAACUUGUCUCUUUCUAGCUGCAGGUCUUCUUCAG
rnacentral:lncRNA from 1 species